rnacentral:misc_RNA from 1 species
UCCAAAAUAAGAUUACAAAGUAAAAACUCACUAAGUUUUCACCCAAGUUUCAAUUCUGUACAAAAAAUUCAAUGCCGAUAAAAAUAAAAAAACAACAACACAUAAUUAUAGAGUUUUAUCACGUGACAUUUUAUCGCAGAAAAAAUGCUUCGUUUGUUUUUGAAAAAAUUCGUCCGAAAAACGCAAGAAAUGAUUUUAUGUAGGUGUUGAAGAAUAAAAACCCAAACAUGGAAAUUAAUGGUAUAUACGCAUAUAUAGAUGUUAUUUCAUUAAAAAAAAUAUUUUUGAGCGCAAUCAAAAUUUAAUAAGGUAAAUUUGCUAUUUUUCUUUAACAAGUAAAGUAGUCAAAAGAUUAUUUCACACAUUUUCAUACUUCAAUUUUAUUUGUUAUAUACCUGAGAUUUUAUUACAAGUUUUUACUUACACCAUUAUAAAGUGGGUUUAUUUUUCUGUUGCUGAUGUUGUUGUUGCUAACCAAUUAGUGAUUUAAUUACAACAGUUUAUCGAAAAAUCGAAAAAGAAUAAAUUAAAAAAAAAAAUGUUGAUGGUAGGAAGCGAACCUGGACCUCCUACCUUAGAGCCUUGCGUGCUAACCAUUCGGCUACGCCGACUUAGUGGUUAUUAAGCUGUUGCAUCUCGGAAUUAAACGAUUCAACCUACUGAUGGCGGAUUCAACAAGUUGCACUAUUUAUUCUACGAAUAUCUUUGGGUUACUGGAAGCAACAGCUGUUUUUAUGAAAUAUUAAACUAUUAGGACUGAAUAUAUGGAAGCAACUGACAGGUUUUGGAAGUAGUAAAGUCAGGAUGUUGCAGAUAAUUGGUGAUACACAAUGGACUUCAAAGGAUAAAACUCUGGAAGAUGUAAUAGGAAGUUAUUCUUCGUUGCAAGCAAAUCAAUUUGUACUUAUGAUUCGUGUACUACACCGCAUUGCUUUAUGCAAUGAUUUGGUUCAUACGAGUCUUUGAGUUUAAUGAAAAACUGGAUAAAAUUUGAAACAGUAUUGACUGCAAUUGUUUAUUUGCAGAUUUUCAAUAUAUGCACACCAGUUUCAAAAUAUUUACAAACGGCUAGCUUGGAUAUUAUAGUUGUCAUGAAGAUGGUCGAAACCAAUUUAAACCGCCUCAUUGCAGUCCUUUAAAAAUUUACCGAUAUCCUCAUGAAAUCUGAAUCAUAUUCAAGAUUAACUAAUAAUAUCAUAUCUAAAGCUAACAAAGAUACCGAAGAAAUUUUUGAAAUUAAACUCCCACAAAAAAAAAGCUCUACAAAACAAAAGCAGAUGCCUGAUAAAAGAAUGAAUGAUGAAAGCAGACAAAUAUUUCAGGACCCAGUAAGGCGGUUUAAUAUAUUCUAUGUUGUUGUGGAUACUGCUACUACAGCAAUUGAAGUUUGAAAGGAAAUAAUGGUUGUAUCUUAAUGUUUUGUCUCCUCAAAACUUUCCAUCUUUGCGUAACCUUGACAACUAUAUUUCUCAUGGUUUAGCCAAUCUUGCUGGUAUACAGAGGGAAACACUGUGCACAUAAAUGACAUCAUUUGCGAUUAAUUUCCCAUUAUUUAGUAAGGCUGAUGAAACUGAAUCAGAGAAAUGCUCCUCCUAAAAAGACUGUCACAGAUGUUUCAGUUGCGUUUUUUGUCUUCUCUAUUGUUACAAUUUACAUUGUUUUGCAUAUUCUAAUAUAAAUGUUGCAUAUAAAAUGGCAUUAUGUCUCCCUUACACACAAGUCAAGUGUGAGCAAGCUUUUUCGAAGUUGAAGACUGUGAAAAAUUUCUUUUGUAAUCUUUUAUGUAAAGAGCACCUCGAAUCACUUAUUUUGAUGAAUGUUGAGAAUGACGUAAAAAUUGAGUACAGUGAGGUUGUCAAAACUGGUGCUACGCUGCAAUUUAGGAUUAAUGUAUUUUUAAAGCCUUGCAUAUGGAUUUAUUUUUUUAAACGUGCUGAAUAAAUUGAUGGACAGAGUGCAUGGUAAAAGAUAUAGAAAAUUGCAUCCACAUUAUUAGAAACGUCCUAUACCCUUGUAACAAAAAAACUAUGUGAUUAAUGGUUUAAUUUAUUUUUACUAUAUUUUUUGCUACCACAAGGGCCCCAUCUAUUUCUCAUCCCCCCGGGUCUCUCAGCUCCAUCUGACCUUUAAUGAAAUAAAUAGCAUUGCUAUGAAUAUAUGUUUGCUCAAUUCCUAGAAGGUCACCUCUAAUUGGUGAGUAGAUUAUAAAAUGAAGUACCAGCAAGUUAGCUCGGUACUUUUGUACCAAAAUUACCACUUUUUCAUUUAUAUGAUUUUAUCAAAACAUGUAAAUUUUUUCACCACUAAAAAGUAAAAAAAGGUAUUAUGCUAAAUCUUAGACAAUAAACCAGUUGGACUGUUUCCAACUUCUGUAUUCGAUAUAAUGGGCACCCAAAAAAGUCAUUCAAAAAAAAAAAAGUAAAACGUUGAAUAAGUUUAUUGUUUUUACUCUUUUGCUACAGGACGGUAGCAAGAGCGUAAAAAUGGCAAUUAUAUUUUUCUGAUAAACUCUAUUUUUUAUAAGGAUUGUUUAAAACUUUUAUAUAUUUACCGUAAUCAAUAGAACUCCCUCAAGCAUAGUUAUGUUCAAAUAUAUACCAAUUUGUCGUUAGGGGCCAUCCAUAAAGGACGUUACCAUUUUUUAGCCAUUUUUUGACCACCUCCUCCCUUUGUCACCCUAUGUUUUCUCGAUAUCCUCUUUGAAAAGGAUGUCAUAAAAUCCUGCCCCUUCCCCUAUUUUUAACCCUCGAUAAAUUUAUUUUAUCUCGCUAUGAUGUUUGAAUCUGUUGCUACACUUUUGAACAAUAAAAUUAAAAAUAUUCUCAUACAUUAUCUUCUUAAAAACACAUGUUUACAUAGUUUUCUAUGUU